UGUUUCUGAAAAGGGGUGGUUUGGUAAAACAACACCUGAGAAUAUACCCUUACAACCUGAACUGGAUAAUACCAGCGUAGGAAAGCAGGAAACACCAGGG
rnacentral:ncRNA from 2 species